UACAGAGGGGGCAAGCGUUGCUCGGAAUUACUGGGCGUAAAGCGCACGUAGGCGGCUCUUUAAGUCGGGGGUGAAAUCCUGGAGCUCAACUCCAGAACUGCCUUCGAUACUGUAGAGCUUGAGUUCGGAAGAGGCGAGUGGAAUUCCCGGUGUAGCGGUGAAAUGCGCAGAUAUCGGGAGGAACACCUAUGGCGGAAGGCAGCUCGCUGGGACGUUACUGACGCUGAGACGCGAAAGCGUGGGGAGCAAACAGG
rnacentral:rRNA from 1 species